rnacentral:rRNA from 1 species
CAUAAAAAUUCCACCACCUCUUUUCAACCCCUAAACCGUACUGAAUGAUCCCAUAGCCCUAUGGGAGCCUAUAUGUUAGAACUAGUAACAAGAAGAUAGUUCUUCUCCAAAAUGUAAGCAUGGGCCAAAAUGAACCACUCAUUGGCACUUAAAGUUAAUAAACCCUUAGUAGUAACCAAGCAAGAAAAAUCUACUAAUUAUAACGUCAACCUUACACAAGCACAUUUCUGGAAAGAUUAAAAAAAUGGGAAGGAACUCGGCAAACUAUUAACCCCGCCUGUUUACCAAAAACAUCGCCUCUUGUUACCCAUAAGAGGUCCAGCCUGCCCAGUGACAAAGUUAAACGGCCGCGGUACCCUAACCGUGCAAAGGUAGCGCAAUCACUUGUUCUUUAAAUGAGGACUAGUAUGAAUGGCAUCACGAGGGUUAUGCUGUCUCCCCAAUUUACUCAGUGAAACUGAUCUCCCCGUGAAGAAGCGGGGAUAAGAAUAUAAGACGAGAAGACCCCAUGGAGCUUUAAACUCAGUAACAAUUGCACCACAAAAUAACCUAAUAUUUAUGCAACCCUGUCUACUAGUUUUCGGUUGGGGUGACCACGGAGUAUAAACAAACCUCCACGAUGAAAGGAAUUAACAACCUAAACCAAGAGCUACAGCUCUAAAUAUCAACAAAUUGACUAAAUUGAUCCAAUCACUUGAUCAACGAACCAAGUUACCCUGGGGAUAACAGCGCAAUCCAUUUCAAGAGCUCAUAUCGACAAAUGGGUUUACGACCUCGAUGUUGGAUCAGGGUAUCCAAGUGGCGCAGCCGCUACUAACGGUUCG